GACGAACGCUGGCGGCGUGCCUAAUACAUGCAAGUAGAACGCUGAAGAGAGGAGCUUGCUCUUCUUGGAUGAGUUGCGAACGGGUGAGUAACGCGUAGGUAACCUGCCUUGUAGCGGGGGAUAACUAUUGGAAACGAUAGCUAAUACCGCAUAACAAUGGAUGACACAUGUCAUUUAUUUGAAAGGGGCAAUUGCUCCACUACAAGAUGGACCUGCGUUGUAUUAGCUAGUAGGUGAGGUAACGGAUCACCUAGGCGACGAUACAUAGCCGACCUGAGAGGGUGAUCGGCCACACUGGGACUGAGACACGGCCCAGACUCCUACGGGAGGCAGCAGUAGGGAACCUUCGGCAAUGGGGGCAACCCUGACCGAGCAACGCCGCGUGAGUGAAGAAGGUUUUCGGAUCGUAAAGCUCUGUUGUAAGUCAAGAACGAGUGUGAGAGUGGAAAGUUCACACUGUGACGGUAGCUUACCAGAAAGGGACGGCUAACUACGUGCCAGCAGCCGCGGUAAUACGUAGGUCCCGAGCGUUGUCCGGAUUUAUUGGGCGUAAAGCGAGCGCAGGCGGUUUGAUAAGUCUGAAGUUAGAGGCUGUGGCUCAACCAUAGUUCGCUUUGGAAACUGUCAAACUUGAGUGCAGAAGGGGAGAGUGGAAUUCCAUGUGUAGCGGUGAAAUGCGUAGAUAUAUGGAGGAACACCGGUGGCGAAAGCGGCUCUCUGGUCUGUAACUGACGCUGAGGCUCGAAAGCGUGGGGAGCGAACAGGAUUAGAUACCCUGGUAGUCCACGCCGUAAACGAUGAGUGCUAGGUGUUGGAUCCUUUCCGGGAUUCAGUGCCGCAGCUAACGCAUUAAGCACUCCGCCUGGGGAGUACGACCGCAAGGUUGAAACUCAAAGGAAUUGACGGGGGCCCGCACAAGCGGUGGAGCAUGUGGUUUAAUUCGAAGCAACGCGAAGAACCUUACCAGGUCUUGACAUCCCGAUGCUAUUUCUAGAGAUAGAAAGUUACUUCGGUACAUCGGUGACAGGUGGUGCAUGGUUGUCGUCAGCUCGUGUCGUGAGAUGUUGGGUUAAGUCCCGCAACGAGCGCAACCCCUAUUGUUAGUUGCCAUCAUUCAGUUGGGCACUCUAGCGAGACUGCCGGUAAUAAACCGGAGGAAGGUGGGGAUGACGUCAAAUCAUCAUGCCCCUUAUGACCUGGGCUACACACGUGCUACAAUGGUUGGUACAACGAGUUGCGAGUCGGUGACGGCAAGCUAAUCUCUUAAAGCCAAUCUCAGUUCGGAUUGUAGGCUGCAACUCGCCUACAUGAAGUCGGAAUCGCUAGUAAUCGCGGAUCAGCACGCCGCGGUGAAUACGUUCCCGGGCCU
rnacentral:rRNA from 1 species